ensembl:misc_RNA predicted gene, 27517
CUGUACCUCCUGAUUGCUGAAUGUGCACUUGGACCUUCUGAUGACCUGCCUUCUGCUAUUCCAUCAGCCUGUAGACCUGGUGUCUGGAUUUUUGCCCAGGAUGAUUCCUACCACCUUACUACUGAAGAAGACACCAUUCCAGUGGACCACUGUGACCCAAAAGGCAUUCAGCCAUCAUGAUGUGGCCUUUACCUCCACUCCUGUCCUUACUACCCAGAUUCAGCACAGCCCUUUA